rnacentral:tRNA from 1 species
CGGUUUCGUCGGCGGCGGGCAUGCCUCGCCGUCGCAGGUCGAUGCAUUGCGCGCGAUCGGCGCGCGCCAUGUGUUCGAUCGCAUGGACCUGC